ACCUCGGAUCAGGUAGGAAUACCCGCUGAACUUAAGCAUAUCAAUAAGCGGAGGAAAAGAAACCAACAGGGAUUGCCCUAGUAACGGCGAGUGAAGCGGCAACAGCUCAAAUUUGAAAUCUGGCUUCGGCCCGAGUUGUAAUUUGCAGAGGAUGUUUCUGGCGCGGUGCCUUCCGAGUUCCCUGGAACGGGACGCCACAGAGGGUGAGAGCCCCGUAUGGUUGGACACCAAGCCUGUGUGAAACUCCUUCAACGAGUCGAGUAGUUUGGGAAUGCUGCUCUAAAUGGGAGGUAAAUCUCUUCUAAAGCUAAAUACCGGCCAGAGACCGAUAGCGCACAAGUAGAGUGAUCGAAAGAUGAAAAGCACCUUGAAAAGGGGGUUAAAUAGUACGUGAAAUUGUUGAAAGGGAAGCACUUAUGACCAGACUUGGGCCGGGCGGCUCAUCAGGGGUUCUCCCCUGUGCACUCCGCCCGGCACAGGCCAGCAUCGGUUUUCGCGGGGGGAUAAGACCGUCAGGAACGUGGCACCCUCCGGGGUGUGUUAUAGCCUGGCGGACGAUACCCCCGC
rnacentral:rRNA from 1 species